rnacentral:rRNA from 1 species
UACGUAGGGGGCUAGCGUUGUCCGGAAUCAUUGGGCGUAAAGCGCGUGUAGGCGGUUCGGUAAGUCCGCUGUGAAAGUCGGGGGCUCAACCCUCGAAAGCCGGUGGAUACUGUCGGGCUAGAGUACGGAAGAGGCGAGUGGAAUUCCUGGUGUAGCGGUGAAAUGCGCAGAUAUCAGGAAGAACACCCGUGGCGAAGGCGGCUCUCUGGGACGGUACUGACGCUGAGACGCGAAAGCGUGGGGAGCGAACAGG